GAUUAACGCUGGCGGCGUGCAUAACACAUGCAAGUCGAACGAUGAAACCUUAAUGAACCCUUCGGGGAGAAUUAAAGCGGAUUAGUGGCGAACGGGUGAGUAACGCGUGAGUAACCUGCCUUACACAAGGGGAUAGCCUUUGGAAACGAAGAAUAAUACCCUAUAAAACCAUAAAAGCACAUGCAAUUAUGGUCAAAGUGAUAGCGGUGUAAGAUGGACUUGCGUCUGAUUGCUAGUUGGUGAGAUAAAAGCCCACCAGGGCAACGAUCAGUAGCCGGCUUGAGAGAGUGUACGGCCACAUUGGGACUGAGACACGGCCCAGACUCCUACGGGAGGCAGCAGUGGGGAAUUUUGCACAAUGGGGGAAACCCUGAUGCAGCGACGCCGCGUGAUUUAGAAGGCCUUCGGGUUGUAAAAAUCUUUUGUAUAGGAAGAAAAUGACAGUACUGUACGAAUAAGGUCCGGCUAAUUACGUG
rnacentral:rRNA from 1 species